UUCCGGUUGAUCCUGCCGGACCCUACUGCUAUCGGGGUGAGACUAAAACAUGCAAGUUGUGCGUCCUGAGCUAUGGCGGGGCGCAGCGUACGGCUCAGCAACACGUGGCUAACCUACCCUUAGGAUGGGAACAACCCCGGGAAACUGGGGCUAAUUCCAGAUAGGUGAGGAGGCCUGGAAUGGUUCCUCACCAAAAGGGCGUCAGGACCAUGCUUCCUGAUGUCGCCUAAGGAUGGGGCCGCGGCCGAUCAGGUUGUUGGUGAGGUAAUGGCUCACCAAGCCUAUAACCGGUACGGGCCAUGAGAGUGGUAGCCCGGAGAUGGGCACUGAGACAAGGGCCCAGGCCCUACGGGGCGCAGCAGUUGCGAAACCUCCGCAAUGCGCGAAAGCGUGACGGGGUUACCCCGAGUGCCGUCCGCUGAGGAUGGCUUUUCUCUGGUGUAAUGAGCCGGAGGAAUAAGGGGAGGGCGAGACUGGUGUCAGCCGCCGCGGUAAUACCAGCUCCCCGAGUGGUGGGGACAAUUAUUGGGCUUAAAGCGUCCGUAGCCGGCCUGACAAGUCUUCCGUUAAAUCCAGCGACCUAAUCGCUGGGCUGCGGGAGAUACUGUUGGGCUAGGAGGCGGGAGAAGCCGACGGUAUUCUCGGGGUAGGGGUGAAAUCCUGUAAUCCCGGGAGGACCACCAGUGGCGAAGCGGUCGGCUAGAACGCGCUCGACGGUGAGGGACGAAAGCUGGGGGAGCGAAUCGGAUUAGAAACCCGAGUAGUCCCAGCUGUAAACGAUGCGGGCUAGUGUUGGGGGUGGCCACGAGCCACCUCAGUGCCGCAUGGAAGCAAUUAAGCCCGCCGCCUGGGGGAGUACGGCCGCAGGCUGAACUUAAAGGAAUGGCGGGGGAGCACCACAGCGUGAGCUGCCGUUUA
rnacentral:rRNA from 1 species